GGUGUGGGAGGAGAUUUGGGUAAGUGCAUCUUAAAUAUAUCUAUAUGCAUGUGAUAUGUUUAUACUAUGUUUGAUUAGAAUAAUUUUGUAACUAAUUUUUGAUAACUUUAUGCAGAGGAUGGACGACUUUUCAGAUCAUGAGAAGGCUCGAGAUGCCCGACUGCAGAAGAUUGAAAAGUUAUAUCGGAACUACAAGGUUAAGCUCCACAAUAGG
rnacentral:lncRNA from 1 species